rnacentral:rRNA from 1 species
GAUGAACGCUAGCUACAGGCUUAACACAUGCAAGUCGAGGGGAAACGACAUCGAAAGCUUGCUUUUGAUGGGCGUCGACCGGCGCACGGGUGAGUAACGCGUAUCCAACCUGCCCACCACUUGGGGAUAACCUUGCGAAAGUAAGACUAAUACCCAAUGACGUCUCUAGAAGACAUCUGAAAGAGAUUAAAGAUUUAUCGGUGAUGGAUGGGGAUGCGUCUGAUUAGCUUGUUGGCGGGGUAACGGCCCACCAAGGCGACGAUCAGUAGGGGUUCUGAGAGGAAGGUCCCCCCAAUUGGAACUGGGACACGGUCCAAACUCCUACGGGAGGCAGCAGUGAGGAAUAUUGGUCAAUGGGCGAGAGCCUGAACCAGCCAAGUAGCGUGCAGGAUGACGGCCCUAUGGGUUGUAAACUGCUUUUAUAAGGGAAUAAAGUGAGUCUCGUGAGACUUUUUGCAUGUACCUUAUGAAUAAGGACCGGCUAAUUCCGUGCCAGCCGCCGCGGUAA